UACAGAGGGUGCGAGCGUUAAUCGGAAUUACUGGGCGUAAAGCGUGCGUAGACGGUUUCGUAAGUCGGGUGUGAAAUCCCCGGGCUCAACCUGGGAAUUGCAUUCGAGACUGCAUUGCUGGAGUACGGAAGAGGAAGGCGGAAUUCCCGGUGUAGCGGUGAAAUGCGUAGAUAUCGGGAGGAACAUCAGUGGCGAAGGCGGCCUUCUGGUCCAGUACUGACACUCAAGUGCGAAAGCGUGGGGAGCAAACAGG
rnacentral:rRNA from 1 species